GAUUGAACGCUAGGCGGCGUGCCUAACACAUGCAAGUCGAGCGAUUCUCUUCGGAGAAGAGCGGCGGACGGGUGAGUAACGCGUGGGUAACCUGCCCUGUACACACGGAUAACAUACCGAAAGGUAUGCUAAUACGAGAUAAUAUACUUUUAUCGCACGGUAGAAGUAUCAAAGUUUUUGCGGUACAGGAUGGACCCGCGUCUGAUUAGCUAGUUGGUAAGGUAACGGCUUACCAAGGCGACGAUCAGUAGCCGACCUGAGAGGGUGAUCGGCCACAUUGGAACUGAGACACGGUCCAAACUCCUACGGGAGGCAGCAGUGGGGAAUAUUGCACAAUGGGCGAAAGCCUGAUGCAGCAACGCCGCGUGAGCGAUGAAGGCCUUCGGGUCGUAAAGCUCUGUCCUCAAGGAAGAUAAUGACGGUACUUGAGGAGGAAGCCCCGGCUAACUACGUG
rnacentral:rRNA from 1 species